AUGAGAAGAGUGCUGAUAACAUGCCGAUGUUUUAAUUGUUGUAGAGCAGUGCUUAUACUAAGCCAAGGACAUCUCAGCUUCUCGCUCUGUCCUGCCAACGGGCAGGCUGGGGGUACAGUAAGAGCUGGGAGGGGACAGACNNNNNNNNNNGGUCAGCAGGUGGUGAGCAAUUGCAUUGUGCAUCACUUGUUUGUACACAUUAUUAGUAGUAGUACUAUUAUCAUCAUUGUAUUAUUAUUAUUGUUAUUAUUAUUUUUAUUAUUAUUAUUUUCCUGUCUUAUUAAACUGUCUUUAUCUCAACUCACGGGCUUCACUUUCCAUUUCUCUCCCCCGUCCCAGAGAGGGAGGGGGGAGGUUGAGCGAACGGCUGCGUGGUGUUUAGCUGCCGGCCGGGUUAAACCACGACACAGACAUAAACGGGCAUUGUUCGCACUGGAUUCCAAUAAUAAUGUUGAAUUGCUUGGUGAUGCAGCUAGAGUGGCAUUGGCAAUUUUCGUGCCAGGAGUGGCAUCUGCGGCCGCACUUAACAACUUAGAAAAAUUGGUAUGCUGGUCCGAGAAGCAAGCCCAUGCCACGACAGAGAUACUUGUGAUGUUACCUGAUCAAAAUAGUCUGCGACAUGUGCUCUUACAGGAUCGAGCUGCUGUUGACUUCUUGCUCUUGGCUCAAGGGCAUGGGUGUGAGGACUUUGAGGGAAUGUGCUGUUUAAGCCUUUCUGAUGAGUCAAUUCACAAAUCCAUUACUUUCCUGAAAGAGCACAUGAGAAAGAUUCAAAAUGAUAUCAAUCCGUUCAAUCAAUGGCUCACUGAUUUGUUUGAAAUGAUGCAUAGAUGGUUACUGGGAUUAGUCGAAGAGGGAUUAAGGAUCCUGUUUAUUGUGGUGUUAAUCGUCAUUGCGUGUUGUAUUGCAAUAAAUGUGGUUAAAGGGUUACUUGCAAAACUGUUACAUCGGGCUUGGUUUGCUCAAAAAGAAAAAGGGGGAAUUGUUGAGGGAUUUUUGAAACAGCAAAGAUCCCAUGGCUUGCUUCAGCUGAGCAAACCAAGCUACCAGGACGACUAUGAGAAGUUCCCAUGA
rnacentral:lncRNA from 1 species